rnacentral:rRNA from 1 species
CCUACGGGGUGCAGCAGUGGGGAAUAUUGCACAAUGGGCGCAAGCCUGAUGCAGCCAUGCCGCGUGUGUGAAGAAGGCCUUCGGGUUGUAAAGCACUUUCAGCGGGGAGGAAGGCGUUAAGGUUAAUAACCUUGGCGAUUGACGUUACCCGCAGAAGAAGCACCGGCUAACUCCGUGCCAGCAGCCGCGGUAAUACGGAGGGUGCAAGCGUUAAUCGGAAUUACUGGGCGUAAAGCGCACGCAGGCGGUCUGUCAAGUCGGAUGUGAAAUCCCCGGGCUCAACCUGGGAACUGCAUUCGAAACUGGCAGGCUAGAGUCUUGUAGAGGGGGGUAGAAUCCCAGGUGUAGCGGUGAAAUGCGUAGAGAUCUGGAGGAAUACCGGUGGCGAAGGCGGCCCCCUGGACAAAGACUGACGCUCAGGUGCGAAAGCGUGGGGAGCAAACAGGAUUAGAUACCCUAGUAGUC